CAGGUGUGGAGACUGGCUCCUCAUUAAUGAGUGGCAGCAGCUUGGGAUGUUUCCUCUGUAGCCAAUCAGGAGGACUCAGAGGGCUCAAGAGAGGUGGAGACGGUCCGGCCCAGACCAGCAGCUGGAAACAGAAGAAAAAGCUGCAGUGACGUGACUUCAUGAGACCAAAUUUACAGAGAUGUCUAAACAUCUGGCUGAGAUCUGAUCACAGUGUGAGAAAUGCAAAUGCAGACGGCGUCCAGGUGCAAAUGGUGCUCGUUGUAGACACACAGUCAGCAGGGACGAGGCCGGCUGUGCAGAGGGAGCUGCUUCUUACAAAUUGGGAGGAAAAAGAUGGAAUUUUGAUUCACUAAUUUACACAAAAAUGCAGAUUUUUGCCCUCGUUGACGACUGAAUAUGCAGAGAGAGACCUGAAACAUGCAGACGGCAUCAGCAGAACAACAGGAACAUGAAACAAAGAGGACCUUUCACACAGCCGAGCAGCGGAGGCUGUGAUUAUGUGGUUUACAGUGUGCACUCACCAAAAAUCAGGUUUUAUUUGUAGCGUAUAACAAAAGAUGAUUAUGGAACAACCAGGGCAGGGACAGAAGAUUACAAAAGCGGAAUAUUUUUCAUUUUGUGGAAGUGACAGAGCUAGCUACACCUCGUGUGUUUCUGUUAUUGUGAGGACCAGUGUGCUCUGUCACUUUACAGAGAUUAAGAUUUAAUAUAGAGUUGGAAUUCAGGGUUCAGUUUAAGAACAGGUUAAUGUUUGGGGAGCUCAUUAUGUCAAAGAUAGACCUCACAGCUUCCCUCGAGUAGCUUUAUCACCGACCAGGUUCAACUGAAACAUGUUACAGCUUUCUCUGUGGCAACAAGACCUUUUUCUAAACCCUUAACAAGUGUGGUUUUGUUUCAUUAUUCAUCGGUGGUUUGCAAAAACGUACACUGCAGAUAUUUAUUCUGGCCUCGGAGGUUCAGCUGUUGUCUCUGUGCUUCAUGAUCUGAUUCAAAGCACUGAACGUUUUAUUU